GAAAUGCGAUAAGUAAUGUGAAUUGCAGAAUUCAGUGAAUCAUCGAAUCUUUGAACGCACAUUGUGCCCGCCAGCACUCUGGCGGGCAUGCCUGUUCGAGCGUCAUUUCAACCCUCAGAACCCCUUGCGGGAUCUGGCGUUGGGGAUUGGCAUCCAGCCAGCCCCGAAAUCUAGUGGCGGUCCCUCCGCGACCUCCCCUGUGCAGUAGCGAUACCUCGCAGCGGGACAGCGGUCUGACCACGUCGUAAAACCCCCAACUUCUCAAGGUUGACCUCGAAUCAGGUAGGAAUACCCGCUGAACUUAAGC
rnacentral:misc_RNA from 1 species